GGACUACUGGGGUUUCUAAUCCCGUUUGCUCCCCUGGCUUUCGCGCCUCAGCGUCAGUAGGUGUCCAGCACGCCGCUUUCGCCACCGGCGUUCCUUCCGAUAUCUACGCAUUUCACCGCUCCACCGGAAGUUCCGCAUGCCCCUGCACCCCUCAAGACUGCCAGUAUCCACGGCACUUCUCCGGUUAAGCCGGAGGCUUUCACCACAGACUUGACAGCCCGCCUACGCGCCCUUUAAGCCCAGUGAAUCCGAACAACGUUCGCACGGUUCGUCUUACCGCGGCUGCUGGCAC
rnacentral:rRNA from 1 species